AUUUCUCACGAUCCCUUCGGGGUGACGAGUUAUUGACUGAGUGGCGGACGGGUGAGUAACGCGUGGGUAACCUACCUUGUACAGGGGGACAACAGUUGGAAACGACUGCUAAUACCGCAUAAGCGCACAGCAUCGCAUGAUGCAGUGUGAAAAGUUUUUUCGGUACAAGAUGGACCCGCGUCUGAUUAGCUAGUUGGUGAGGUAACGGCCCACCAAGGCGACGAUCAGUAGCCGACCUGAGAGGGUGACCGGCCACAUUGGGACUGAGACACGGCCCAAACUCCUACGGGAGGCAGCAGUGGGGAAUAUUGCACAAUGGGCGCAAGCCUGAUGCAGCGACGCCGCGUGAGCGAAGAAGUAUUUCGGUAUGUAAAGCUCUAUCAGCAGGGAAGAUAAUGACGGUACCUGACUAAGAAGCACCGGCUAAAUACGUGCCAGCAGCCGCGGUAAUACGUAUGGUGCAAGCGUUAUCCGGAUUUACUGGGUGUAAAGGGAGCGUAGGCGGUUUUACAAGUCUGAUGUGAAAGCCCGGGGCUCAACUCCGGUAUUGCAUUGGAAACUGUAGAACUAGAGUGUCGGAGGGGUAAGUGGAAUUCCUAGU
rnacentral:rRNA from 1 species